rnacentral:rRNA from 1 species
AGUGAACGCUGGCGGUAGGCCUAACACAUGCAAGUCGAACGGCAGCACAGGAGAGCUUGCUCUCUGGGUGGCGAGUGGCGGACGGGUGAGGAAUACAUCGGAAUCUACUCUGUCGUGGGGGAUAACGUAGGGAAACUUACGCUAAUACCGCAUACGACCUACGGGUGAAAGCAGGGGAUCUUCGGACCUUGCGCGAUUGAAUGAGCCGAUGUCGGAUUAGCUAGUUGGCGGGGUAAAGGCCCACCAAGGCGACGAUCCGUAGCUGGUCUGAGAGGAUGAUCAGCAACACUGGAACUGAGACACGGUCCAGACUCCUACGGGAGGCAGCAGUGGGGAAUAUUGGACAAUGGGCGCAAGCCUGAUCCAGCCGUACCGCGUGGGUGAAGAAGGCCUUCGGGUUGUAAAGCCCUUUUGUUGGGAAAGAAAUCCAUCUGGUUAAUACCCGGGUGGGAUGGCGGUACCCAAAGAAUAAGCACCGGCUAACUUCGUGCCAGCCGCCGCCGUAA